rnacentral:rRNA from 1 species
GAUGAACGCUGGCGGCGUGCCUAAUACAUGCAAGUCGAGCGAACAGACGAGGAGCUUGCUCCUCUGACGUUAGCGGCGGACGGGUGAGUAACACGUGGAUAACCUACCUAUAAGACUGGGAUAACUUCGGGAAACCGGAGCUAAUACCGGAUAAUAUAUUUAACCGCAUGGUUCAAUAGUGAAAGACGGUUUUGCUUUCACUUAUAGAUGGAUCCGCGCCGCAUUAGCUAGUUGGUAAGGUAACGGCUUACCAAGGCAACGAUGCGUAGCCGACCUGAGAGGGUGAUCGGCAACACUGGAACUGAGAAACGGUCCAGACUCCUACGGGAGGAAGAAGAAGGGAAUCUUCCGCAAUGGGCGAAAGCCUGACGGAGCAACGCCGCGUGAGUGAUGAAGGUCUUCGGAUCGUAAAACUCUGUUAUUAGGGAAGAACAAAUGUGUAAGUAACUAUGCACGUCUUGACGGUACCUAAUCAGAAAGCCACGGCUAACUACGUG